rnacentral:rRNA from 1 species
CAAGUCGAGGGGCAGCACGAAUAGCAAUAUUUGGUGGCGACCGGCAAACGGGUGCGGAACACGUACGCAACCUUCCCAUAACUGGUGAAUAGCCUUCCGAAAGGGAGAUUAAUACACCGUAACAUAAAGAGUAGGCAUCUAUUUUUUAUUAUAGCUUCGGCGGUUUUGGAUGGGCGUGCGCCUGAUUAGGUAGUUGGCGGGGUAACGGCCCACCAAGCCUUCGAUCAGUAACUGGUGUGAGAGCACGACCAGUCACACGGGCACUGAGACACGGGCCCGACUCCUACGGGAGGCAGCAGUAAGGAAUAUUGGUCAAUGGACGCAAGUCUGAACCAGCCAUGCCGCGUGAAGGAUGAAGGCCCUCUGGGUUGUAAACUUCUUUUAUCUGGGACGAAAAAAGGGGAUUCUUCCUCACUUGACGGUACCAGAGGAAUAAGCACCGGCUAACUCCGUGCCAGCAGCCGCGGUAAUACGGAGGGUGCAAGCGUUAUCCGGAUUUACUGGGUUUAAAGGGUGCGUAGGUGGGUAAGUAAGUCAGUGGUGAAAUCUUCGAGCUUAACUCGGAAACUGCCAUUGAUACUAUUUAUCUUGAAUACUUUGGAGGUAAGCGGAAUAUGUCAUGUAGCGGUGAAAUGCCUAGAUAUGACAUAGAACACCAAUUGCGAAGGCAGCUUACUACACAGUUAUUGACACUGAGGCACGAAAGCGUGGGGAUCAAACAGGAUUAGAUACCCUGGUAGUCCACGCCCUAAACGAUGGAUACUCGACAUUAGCGAUACACAGUUAGUGUCUGAGCGAAAGCAUUAAGUAUCCCACCUGGGAAGUACGAUCGCAAGAUUGAAAC